ACCUAGCCCGGAUGGAAGCGAAAAGCUUCGCAGAAUUACUCCCUUAUUUUCUUGCCAUAAAAGAGCGACCAAAGGAAGCUCCUUUUAGGGCUUUAGAAAAAAGGGAGUAGUUCAAGUCCCGAAGUAUCGGGAUUGUAGCGCACAGCCGAAAUAGCU
rnacentral:misc_RNA from 1 species